rnacentral:lncRNA from 1 species
GCACAAUUCCUUACACGGAGAUGAUCAAUUGUAGGAAGAACACCAAUUUCUACAAUAGAUGAAAGCUGAGGACAUCAUUUAACCUCGAAUGUUAGUAGGUUGACUAGGCUUUGCACAAUAUUAUCAUUUGACCAAAAAGUCACUAGGUCCUUACAAUCAUCACUUUUCAAAAUUUUCAAGUCGCAUGAAUGCAUUGUUAAUUGAAGUCAUACCAACUAUAUUCUUCAAUUUUAAAUUGGUUGGGGUGGUUAAAUUGUGCAUACCAUUUAACACAUCUUCACCACACCCUUCUACUUAUAGUUCACAAAUAGAAAUAACAAUUUUGGAAUCUUUAUCAAUUUGGGACGUUCCUUUAUGCAAUACAUCUUGAGGAAUUUAAUUUCCCCAUGCACUUCAAGUUUUAAUCCAAGCCAUUCCUCCCAUUCUGUCAUGUCCUAAAAAAUAGAGUCUCCAGUGAUUUGGAUGGUAAUUCUCCCCAACACAUAUUUCCAUAAAACUCCUCUAUAAUUACUUUUAAUUGAUUCAUGCUCAAGUCUCUAACACAAGGGUAGAUACUCUAGUGUUGGUAAAGAGAUGCACUUUAUACAUUGUCGGAGCCAAUCUUCAAAAUUGGGUUACUCCAAUUAUCCUAACAAAUGAGUUUAGUUACACAUCAUUUAAGUAAUAAGCAAAUUGAGUGGAGAUAUCCAUCGUAGGGUUAGAUUUGCUUGAAAUUUGUGCCCAAAACACCAGAAUCACCACCCUGAGACCAUCCACGAAGUUUGGUGCCGCUAACUUGAACCAGUGAUGCUUCAACUCGCACCACCACCUUACACCGACAGUGCUUGUACUCGUCUCUGCAGUCCAACUUCAGUUUCGCAUGACAUUUUAUCUACAACUCUGAUUUGCAACCCAUCUUUUUGCGUUAGACUCCAGAUUGGAUGAUCUUUCCCAUAAUAUAUUAUAUGCCAAAUGGAAAUUCAUGAAUCUUCCCAUGCUGCUCUCCAAAUUGCUCCUCUUUCGGUGUUUAACACUAAUUUUUGCUCCAUUAUUCGCCCACGUGUUUUCGAAGCUCGGGACCACCCCUAAGACAUAAAGAAAUGUCAAAAAUCAGCAGAUACUCGAGCAAUAUAGAUAGGUUAUAUACACUUAUCAACAACAUUGGCUUCAACUGACAAUAAAUGUUCCCAGAGUUGCUCGACACUCGAAGAAAAAAGUGUCGCUAGAUGAUGGUUCGCCGUGCUGCCCUCUCUUGUUAACUGUGUAAUAACAGAAACAAUGUUUAUGUCAAAUAUGAUGUAAAACAGCAAGCCAUGAAAUCCAGCUGAUGUA